AGUAACACGUAGAUUACCUGCCCUCACUACGAGGAUAACUUUGGGAAACUAAAGCUAAUACUGGAUAGGAUAUCUUAUUAGUUUAAGAUAUUUAAAGGAGAAAUCCGAGUAAGGAGGGGUCUGCGGCGCAUUAGUUAGUUGGUAUGGGUAAAGGCCUACCAAGACUAUGAUGCGUAGCUGGACUGAGAGGUUGGACGGCCACAUUGGGACUGAGAACGGCCCAAACUCCUACGGGAGGCAGCAGUAGGGAAUUUUCGGCAAUGGGGGAAACCCUGACCGAGCAACGCCGCGUGAACGAAGAAGUCUUUCGGGAUGUAAAGUUCUUUUAUUUGGGAAGAAAAAAAUGACGGUACCAGAUGAAUAAGCCCCGGCUAACUAUGUGCCAGCAGCCGCGGUAAUACAUAGGGGGCAAGCGUUAUCCGGAAUUACUGGGCGUAAAGGGUACGUAGGUUGAUAUUUAAGUUUUUGGUUUAAGAGCAGUGCUCAACGCUGUUUUGCCAAAAAGUACUGGAUGUCUAGAGAGCAACAGAGGCAAGUGGAAUUCCAUGUGUAGCGGUAAAAUGCGUAAAUAUAUGGAGGAACACCAGUGGCGAAGGCGGCUUGCUGGGUUGAAUCUGACGCUGAGGCACGAAAGCGUGGGUAGCAAACAGGAUUAGAUACCCUGGUAGUCCACGCCCUAAACGAUGAGUACUAAGUUUUGGUUUCUAAAAGAAUCAGAGCUACAGUUAACGCAUUAAGUACUCCGCCUGAGUAGUACGUACGCAAGUAUGAAACUCAAAGGAAUUGACGGGACUCCGCACAAGCGGUGGAUCAUGUUGUUUAAUUCGACGAUACACGAAAAACCUUACCAGGCCUUGACAUACUCUGCAAGUAGUUAGAGAUAACAUAUGAGGUUAACAGAGAUACAGGUGGUGCACGGUUGUCGUCAGCUCGUGUCGUGAGAUGUUGGGUUAAGUCCCGCAACGAGCGCAACCCCUAUUGUUAGUUACCAUCAUUAAGUUGGGGACUCUAGCAAGACUGCCAGUGACAAACUGGAGGAAGGUGGGGAUGACGUCAAAUCUUCAUGCCCCUUAUGGUCUGGGCUACAAACGUGAUACAAUGGCUGUAACAAAGAGAAGCAAUAGGGCGACCUGGAGCAAAACUCACAAAAGCAGUCUCAGUUCGGAUUGAAGUCUGCAACUCGACUUCAUGAAGGUGGAAUCGCUAGUAAUCGCAAAUCAGCAAGUUGCGGUGAAUACGUUCUCGGGGUUUGUACACACCGCCCGUCAAACCACGAAAGUGAACAAUACCCAAAGCCGGUGGCCUAACCUUUUAGGAGGGAGCCGUUUAAGGUAGGGUUCAUGAUUGGGGUU
rnacentral:rRNA from 1 species